rnacentral:rRNA from 1 species
CCUGGCUCAGAUUGAACGCUGGCGGCAUGCCUAACACAUGCAAGUCGAACGGCAGCAUCGUUUAGGGAACUAGACGGAUGGCGAGUGGCGGACGGGUGAGUAACGCGUAGGAAUAUACCUUAAGGGGUGGGAUAACUUGGGGAAACCCAAGCUAAUACCGCAUACGUUCUUAGGAAUAAAGCUGGGGACCUUAUGGCCUGGCGCUUUAAGAUUAGCCU